GGGCAUUUUGUUCACUGUAACUAAAAAGUAAUUAGUAGUAAGUAAAUUUGUACGAAGUGUUUUAUUUGCUGACCCACUGCUGCUGUAACAAAAUAAUUUCCCAGUCUGGGAUCAUUAAAGUAAUUCUAUCUAUCUAUCUAUCUAUCUAUCUAUCUAAUUUAUUACUCUAUGAUUACAGUACAUUGUUAUAACAUAUUACAUUAAAAUCAAGGUAACUAGUAGUAUCUAAUAUAUUGCAUUUCAAAAAUAAUGUUAACGUUGAAGACAUUAUGAGAUGGUAAGUAAGAUGUUUUUAUUUUGAGGGGGUCUUUUGUAUUUCUGAUAGUAUAUCGGAGUAUCUAGGUUGUACACAGUCAAAGAAAUUGUCUACAAAAAGUCAUUGUAUUUACUUUAAUAUCUGUAUUUUGCAAUAAAAUUCACAUAGGGUCAGAAUUUGGUGCAACACCGGAACCAACGUUUUUGUUCCCUGUUUGCACCCGGUUGUUUUCCGACUUCCUGAUGUCUUCGUGUACGAAGACGCCACCUCUAGUUGUGGCUGCAGUCAAGCUCCCUACAAAAUGAACUAUCGUCGGAUAAAAGGACUUUCACAAAAGCCAAAACAAGGCAUCAACAUGCAGAAAUCCUCAGAGCCUGUGGAGGAGGAGGAUGAGAACAGUGGCAUCCUACACAUGCUCACGCAAGUCAGUGAUGUCUUCCAGAUUGGGAAAAAAAUCUCUGUGAGCCAUUUCAAGAGAAACUCAAAAUUGAAAUGGGUAGUGCCAAGCUCUGCAGGGCCUCAUGACGGUGGAGGUGGAGGCACGUCUUUUUGUGGAUUCUAG
rnacentral:lncRNA from 1 species